GAAGCAAAUUACGUUAACAAGAAGAACACCAAGCCAGGACGAGUGAGGUUUUAUCCUAAAAACUCGGUAUUCCGUAAAUCAGAUCUCAUUGAUAGAGGAUGUGUUGUAUUUAUCAAAGACUGCCCAGCUGCUUACAAUACACCAAGAAACCUGCUUUAAAGAAACUUUUUAGAACAAAAUACGAUAAACUUGAACAUCCGAACAAAUGGUAGUAAAACUCUUUCGUUUCCCAAAAACAAUUGUUUAUUUUAAGACGAAACUUCGUCUGUGGGAGACACUAUGACGGGUACUACAAGACUUUCAACAAUUACUGCGAACUGGAAUACGAGAAUUGCAAUAGUUGGAGGCAGUGGAGUAUGAUAAAACGCGAAAGGUGUUGAUUGCUUUUUCAAAUACGUAGGUGUUUGUCGUCAAACUCGUUUCAGAUUUUACCCGCGACUUUGACAUUUGGA